rnacentral:lncRNA from 1 species
AGCGAGGCCGGGAGGAGGCUGCUGCCUGUGGCUCAGGAGCAGAAGAUGGGCAGCUGGGGCAGCGUCUGGCGGUAAAACAGGCAGAGCUGGACGUUGGGAGGCUGUGCCCCGCUGCUGGCCUCAGCCACAGUGCCUGCACCUGAAGGCCCACCAGUCCCUUUGAGGCACCCACACCACCCCUGCAGGCCGGGCAGGGUGAGGCAACCCUACCAACAGUGGGAACACUCGAGGGAGCUACACUGUAGGGAAAAACUCAAAAAUGCACGCUCUCCUGUCAUAUGAUCCAGAAUUCCUCUCCUAGGUGUUCAGGCCAACAGAAAUGGUGUUCUGGAAGGUUCUCUAUAGCCAAAAGCUACAAACAGCCCAGAUGUUUAAAAGAAGAUAAACUGCUACAUCCACAAAAUGGAAUACUACUCAGCAGUAAAUGCAACUGAUGAGACACAAUGGUGAAUAACGAUAAAAAUAAAAGACUCAUACGAUGUUAAAAAAGAUGCAUAAUGAUGAACCUCAUGUCAUAUUGAGAGAAGCCAGACACAAAAGGACACACCACAUGAUUCCAUGUCUACGCAGUUUAAGAACAAGGAAAAACAGACAAAUCACGCAGUACCUCUGCAUAAGGAGGGCAGAGAAAGCAAGAGGCAUUGGCACAAAACAGUGACCACGUCUUGGAGGUGGUUCUUGCUCUCCAGGCAACAUUAUCUGGAAAUCCAGAGCAAGCGAAAAGAUUUCCAAGGUCAAUAUGGAAAGAGCCUGAUUUUUCAGCACUUGAAAACUAAAGCACAUGUGCCUGGAAGGAAAUGAAGAUGGCAGAGGAGGAGGCUGAGCUCACUCCGCCCCCAUGAGCACAUCAAACAUACGUCUACGUGUGGAGCCGUUCUCACUGCAAACAAGCUGGAAACAGCAGCAAGUCCCUUACACAAGCAAGGUCCACACGGAGUUGGGAUGGGAAGGGAGGAGAAGCAAUCGGGUGGGGCCCUGGGAGGGUACGCAGAAGCGGGGAGGAUUGUGUGGGCUUAGAGAUCCUCCCUGGGGAGUGAGCGCUUCAAACAACACAUGGGGCACCCCAGCCCUGGGGUCUGACACCAGGCAUCCCCUUAGCUGGUCUGAAAACUACCGAGCCUAACAGGAAGGCUGUGAGAAACCGAGACUCCACUGGUGAAGGGUGCCCACGCGCUUGCUUACUGCCAGGAACAAGGCAGAAGAAGCAGAGUGAACGCGCCCAAGGCCCCAGCCAGUUUCCCACAACUGCCCCUGACCCACGCCAAGCGCCCCCUCUGGCCCUUCUUGCUUCAACACUCCUCCCUUCUAGGGCCAAGGCGUCAGUACUGGGAAGGGUGAGAGCAUGCACUCAGGGGGAACCUGACCUUCGGGGCUGCUGCUCCGGCACCUUGGGGCAGUCCCUCCCCUGCCCCUGGUAGGGUGGUGUCAGCCACCAAGCAGAGAAGUCCUGACUCACCCCAGGCUCUGGCUGUAGCCCCUCCAUCUCCAGCCCCACUGCCCACCAGGGUGAUAGCUGCCAGCACACCCUGGGGGAAGACGUGACCCAUGCUCAUUCCAAAUCCAGCUCUCCCACCAAAGCCACUGGACACACAGAGUCUGCCCAGGGAUGCUCCCACACAAGGACACCCCUUCAAGACCAGGAUAGGUAAUUAUGUCACCUAAUUUUAUAGAGACAGAGGAAUCUGUUUCAAAUGAAAGAAUAAGAUAACAACCCUAGAAAUGUCCUGAAUAGACAUUUUUCAAAGAUGACAUACAACAGGCAGCCACAUGAAAAGAUGCUCAACAUCACUAAUCGUCAGGGAAAUGCAAAUCAACACCACAGUGAGACAUCGCCCCACACCUGUCAGAAUGGCUCUCAUCAAAAAGAACACAAAUAACAAAUGUUGGCAAGGAUGUGAAGAGAAGGGAAACCCAGUAGACUGCUGAAGGGAAAGUAAACUGGUGCAACCAGUGUGGAAAAUAGUAGGGAGGUUCCUCGAAAUGUGAAAAAUAGAACUACCACAUGAUCCAGCAAUUCCGCUCCUGGGUAUACAGCCAAAGAUAACAAAAAAAAAAAAACAACACUAAUUCCAAAAGAUACGUGCACCCCAGUGUUCAUAGAAGCAUUAUUUACAAUAGCCAAGAUGUCGAAGCAACCCAAGUGUCCAUCAACAGAUAAAUGAAUAAAGAAGACGUUUUACACACACGCACACACACACGCCACACACACAAUGCAGUAUUACUCAGGCAUAAAAAAGAAUGAAAAUUUUGCCAUUUGCAACAACAUGGAUGGACCUGGAGGCUAUUGUGCUUGAUGAAAUAAGUGAGAUGGAGAAAGACAUAUUGCAUGGUAUCCUUUAUCUGUGGAAUCUCAAAAAGGAAACGAAUGAAUAUAGCAAAACAGAAACAGAUUCACAGAUAUAGAAAACAAACUAGUGGUUCCUCAUGGGGUGUGGGAAGUGGCGAGGGGCAAGACAGAGGCAGGGGAUUAAGAGGUACACAGAGGUACAGUGUCUAAAGUAAAGAAGCCAGCAGGAUACAUUUUACGGCGCAGGGAAUAUGGCCAAGACUAUAUUAUAACUUUAAGUGGAGUAUAAUCUACAAUAUAAAAAGUCACUACCUCAUACACUUGAAACUAAUAUAUUAGAAAUCAACUACACAUCAAGAAAAAAAAACAACAGGGAAAAUACAGUGAAUGGAAACAGUAGUUACCUCAGGAGGUAGAGAAAGGGGAUUGAUUACAAAGAGGCAGGAAGAAACUUUGGGGAGUAUGAGAAAGUUUUAUGUCUUCACUGGAGGAACUGGUUACACAGGUGUGUAUAUUUGUCAGAACAUCCAACUUUAUACUUAAGAUCUGUGUGUUUCAGAGUUCCUGUAAUGGCUCAGUGGUUAACGAAUCCGACUAGGAACCAUGAGGUUGCGGGUUCGAUCCUUGGCCUCGCUCAGUGGGUUAAGGAUUUGGCGUUGCCACCAGCAGUGGUGUAGGCCAGCGGCUACAGCUCUGAUUGGACCCCUAGCCUGGCAAUCUCCAUAUACCAUGGGUGCAGCCCUAAAAAGACAAAGGAAAAAAAAAAAGAUCUGUGUGUUUCAUCAUAGAUGAAUUUUAUCUUAAGGCAUAAGCUUAAUAUGACUGCUCAGGAUCCACUGGGAAAGGGUGGACGGUGCUAAAUGCCUUUUUGUGGCCACUCCUCUCAACCCCUGAGGGCGGCUGGCUCUUGGAAGCAGGCGCUCUCUCCACACCCCUGGAGAGAAGGCAUGGAGUGGGGCUGAGCACGGCCUCAGGCAGCCCCUCCUGGUGCUGAGUUGGGGAUCCCCACAUGCACAUCAGGGAUGUGGUCACCACAGACUGCGGGAAGAUCUUCAGGGCAAAACGACACCAGGUGAGCAUCUGCUAGCAACUGCCCUCGAGUGGGUCUGUCACCUACAGAUCUAGUUGAAAUGCAGAUCCUGAAAAAUCCGAACUAGUACAUUCACAAUAAAUAUGGAUGCUGUGUCCUUAAAACAAGAGAGGCGGUGAAAAAGGGCAGUGAGCUAACAAUAGUUCCUUAGGGGUGGGAGAAACAGGACGAAGAUUUUACAAUUUAACAGAAGCCUUGAAUACAAUGGAAAAUGAGGGACCUGGAAAAUAAAGUCCAGGACAUUUCCCAGAAAGGAAAGCAAAACAAGGCAAGGAGAUUAUUUUAGAAGAAUUUAAGAGAGACAGGGAGGAGAAAAUCAAGAAGUUCAGCAACCAUCUCAAAGGGAUCCCAGCAGGUGAGAGCAGAAAGAAGGAGGGAAGAAAACAACCAAAGAAACAAACGGCUAACAUUCAGUUACAGAAAAGCUAGUCUUCUGAUAAAAAGGAGCCACCUAGUGGUGAGCAGGCUUACUGGAAGAGAAUCCUGACGUCCAUAUUUCUUGGUGAAUCACGGAACUCUAAAGAUAAAGAAAAUCCUACAAGUUUUCAGAGUGAGAGAAACAGAGUAAAGAUGUUACUGACAAAAGAACAAAACCAAGAGUUCCCGUGUGGAGCAGUGGAAACGAAUCCAACUAGGAACCAUGAGGUUGCGGAUUGGAUCUCUGGCCUCGAUCAGUGAGUUAAGGAUCCUUCCUUGCCGUGAGCUGUGGUGUAGGUCACAGACACGGCUCGGAUCCAGCGUUGCUGUGGCUCUGGCGUAGACCCGAAGCAACAGUUCCAGCUCCGAUUAAACCCCUAGCCUGGGAGCCACCACAUGCCGCGGGUGCGGCC